UCUCCGUAGGUGAACCUGCGGAGGGAUCAUUCACAUGAUUUACUUUAUAAACAAACUGUGAACUUUAUUAUCAUACUAUUCUUGUAGGGAUUAUUUUAUAAUCUUUUACAACGUCAUUCGAUGAACAUUAGAUAGUUGGCUUGUUUUUUUUAAAUAAAAAACUUUCUCAGCUGAUUUGUUUGUUAGACUAAACAUCUAUUCAAUCAAUCAACCAAAAACAUAGAAACAACCCUAUGCCCUGGAUAUCUUGGUUCUC
rnacentral:misc_RNA from 1 species